rnacentral:rRNA from 1 species
GACGAACGCUGGCGGCGUGCUUAACACAUGCAAGUCGAACGGAAAGGCCCUGCUUUUGUGGGGUGCUCGAGUGGCGAACGGGUGAGUAACACGUGAGUAACCUGCCCUUGACUUUGGGAUAACUUCAGGAAACUGGGGCUAAUACCGGAUAGGAGCUCCUGCUGCAUGGUGGGGGUUGGAAAGUUUCGGCGGUUGGGGAUGGACUCGCGGCUUAUCAGCUUGUUGGUGGGGUAGUGGCUUACCAAGGCUUUGACGGGUAGCCGGCCUGGGAGGGUGACCGGCCACCUUGGGACUGAGGUACGGCGCAGACUCCUACGGGAGGCAGCAGUGGGGAGUAUUGCACAAUGGGCGGACGCCUGAUGCAGCAACGCCGCGUGCGGGAUGACGGGCUUCGGGUUGUAAACCGCUUUCGCCUGUGACGAAGCGUGAGUGACGGUAAUGGGUAAAGAAGCACCGGCUAACUACGUG